GACGAACGCUGGCGGCGUGCUUAACACAUGCAAGUCGAGCGGAGCGGCGAACGGGUGAGUAACGCGUGAGUAACUGCCCCCCUCUCUGGGAUAACAGUUGGAAACGGCUGCUAAUACCGGAUAGUUGGGGAUGACUCGCGUCCUAUCAGCUUUUUGGUGGGGUAUUGGCCUACCAAGGCGACGACGGGUCGCCGGCCUGAGAGGGCGACCGGCGACAUGGGGCUGAGUGACGGCUCAAACGCCUACGGGAGGCAGCAGGGGGGAAUAUUGUACAAUGGGGGAAAACCUGAUGCAGCAACGCCGCGUGCGGGAUGUAGGCCUUCGGGUUGUAAACCGCUUUCAGCCAUGACGCGGUAGUGGCAGAAGAAGCACCGGCUAACUACGUGCCAGCAGCCGCGGUAAUAC
rnacentral:rRNA from 1 species